CGGUAUGUUAAAAUUGGAAUUCAUUUAUUUAUCCAAAUAAAUAUACUUGAAAAAACAAAUGAAACCGUUUAUUUGAUACCUGAUAUCCCAGGUUGUAGGGGAAGAAGCAGGAAGGUUGAAGUUGAAACAAUAGAUGAACAGCAGUAGACACAAUCUAUUGCUUAGUUGUGGGCACGCGCCAUCCCCACCGGUGAAACGAUGCCGUUUAGAUUGCCGUGUCAAAGCACAGCUGACAGAGGGAAUGGAAAUUCGGGUGUGCAGCAACCGCAGCUGCCGCAGACAGGGCUCAUUUCAAACCCUAGAAACCCUCUAUGGGGUCGCUCCUCCAAACGUAACCGUAAAGUCGUGCGGGUGCUUGGGGCGGUGCGGUGGGGGCCCCAACCUAGUGGUCCUGCCUGAUGGCCUCAUCUUUGGCCAUUGUGGGACGGCUGCUCGGGCGGCGGAGCUCGUAGUAACUCUGUUUGCCGAAGCCGGCCAUGACCCAAAGACUUGUUUGGACGCGCUUGCUCUGAGGAAGAGAGCGGACAUUGAGUUUGCCAACCGAAAUUUCACUCAGGCUGAGCUUCUGCUCUCACAGGCUAUAGAUUUAAAACCAUUUGGUGGCAUGCAUAUCAUAUUUAAAUGCAGGUCAUUUGUAAGGCUGGAAUUGGGCAACUACUCUGGUGCCCUCGAAGAUGCUGAAGAGGCUUUGGCAUUAGCUCCCCGUUAUUCUGAGGAUGACUCUCGUAUCGAACUUCCCUACACCUCCUUGGAAGAAGGAUUAUUUGUGAUUCUCUUUGUAGAAUUGCUGGGUGGAAUGUUGUCAACGUGUUAACCAUAGCAGAUUCUGGAUUGGGAUAAUGGAAUUUCAUGGGUGACAAUGGUGGUGGUCAUGGGGCCAAGAAGGCAGUUUGUGGCAGUGAGGAUGAGAGAUGUCACGUGUGGAUUGAGCAACUGGUGGAAGCUGGAGAGAGAAAGGGUUGAGAGGAUUAAAUUCAGUAUGGAAGAAGCAGGAUACAACUGCUUGUAUCUGCCAAGGUGACGCCUUCUUGGCAUUGAACAAAUUUGAUUUGGCAGAGCAGUCAUAUUUAACAUCUUUAGAUAUUGAACCUUCGAUUCGCCAUUCUAAAUCAUUCAAGGCUCGGGUAACAAAUCUUCAGGAA